rnacentral:rRNA from 1 species
UAGGGAAUCUUCCGCAAUGGACGCAAGUCUGACGGAGCAACGCCGCGUGAGUGAAGAAGGAUUUCGGAUCGUAAAGCUCUGUUGUUAAGGAAGAACGAGUGUGAGAAUGGAAAGUUCAUACUGUGACGGUACUUAACCAGAAAGGGACGGCUAACUACGUGCCAGCAGCCGCGGUAAUACGUAGGUCCCGAGCGUUGUCCGGAUUUAUUGGGCGUAAAGCGAGCGCAGGCGGUUAGAUAAGUCUGAAGUUAAAGGCAGUGGCUCAACCAUUGUAGGCUUUGGAAACUGGUUAACUUGAGUGCAGAAGGGGAGAGUGGAAUUCCAUGUGUAGCGGUGAAAUGCGUAGAUAUAUGGAGGAACACCGGUAGCGAAAGCGGCUCUCUGGUCUGUAACUGACGCUGAGGCUCGAAAGCGUGGGGAGCGAACAGG